rnacentral:rRNA from 1 species
UACGUAGGGUGCAAGCGUUAAUCGGAAUCACUGGGCGUAAAGGGUGCGCAGGCGGGCUCAUAAGUCAGUAGUGAAAUCUCGGCGCUCAACGCCGAAACGUCUUUUGAUACUAUGAGCCUUGAAUAAGCGAGAGAUCCGUGGAAUUCCGGGUGUAGCGGUGGAAUGCGUAGAGAUCCGGAAGAACACCGGUGGCAAAGGCGGUCUGCUGGGGUAAUGCUGACACUGAUGCGCGACAGCGUGGGGAGCAAACAGG